GUGCCCUUCGGGGAGCGUUAAGACAGGUGGUGCAUGGUUGUCGUCAGCUCGUGUCGUGAGAUGUUGGGUUAAGUCCCGCAACGAGCGCAACCCUUAUGUUUAGUUGCUACGCAAGAGCACUCUAAACAGACUGCCGUUGACAAAACGGAGGAAGGUGGGGAUGAUGUCAAAUCAUCAUGCCCUUUAUGACCUGGGCUUCACACGUACUACAAUGGCUGUUAACAAAGGGAAGCAAGACAGUGAUGUGGAGCAAAUCCCUAAAAGCAGUCUCAGUUCGGAUUGUAGGCUGCAACUCGCCUACAUGAAGUCGGAAUUGCUAGUAAUCGCGGAUCAGCA
rnacentral:rRNA from 1 species